rnacentral:tRNA from 1 species
GGGCGCGUAACUCAGUUGGUUAGAGUGCCACCUUCACACGGUGGAAGUCGCAGGUUCGAGUCCUGCCGCGCCCA